rnacentral:rRNA from 1 species
GAUAGGACUAAGACAUGCUAGUCGAGCGCCUUCCAGCCACGAAGAAGACGCGGCACACAGCUCAGUAACACGUAGCUAACCUGCCCUCGGGACGGGAGUACCCCCGGGAAACUGGGGCUAAUUCCCGAUAGGUGAAGAACUCUGGAAUGAGUCUCCGCCCAAAAGACGCUUAGAUCAUGCUUCUAGGCGCCGCCCAAGGAUGGGGCCGCGACCGAUCAGGUUGUUGGUGAGGUAACGGCCCACCAAGCCUUUAACCGGUGCGGGCCGCGGGAGCGGGAGCCCGGAGAUGGGCACUGAGACAAGGGCCCAGGCCCUACGGGGCGCAGCAGUCGCGAAAACUUUGCAAUAAGCGAAAGCUUGACAGGGCUAUCCCGAGUGCCAUCCGCUGAGGAAGGCUUUUACUCAGUCUAGAACGCUGGGGGAAUAAGGAGAGGGCAAGUCUGGUGUCAGCCGCCGCGGUAAUACCAGCUCUCCGAGUGGUGUGGAUGUUUAUUGGGCCUAAAGCAUCCGUAGCUGGCUGAGUUAGUCCUCUGUUAAAUCCACCGAAUCAAUCGUUGGAUUGCGGGGGAUACUGCUCGGCUAGGGGACGAGAGAGGCAGACGGUAUUCCCGGGGUAGGGGUGAAAUCCUAUAAUCCCGGGAGGACCACCAGUGGCGAAGGCUGUCUGCUAGAACGCGCCCGACGGUGAGGGAUGAAAGCUGGGGGAGCGAACCGGAUUAGAUACCCGGGUAGUCCCAGCUGUAAACGAUGCAGGCUAGGUGUUUGGACGGCCACGUGCCGUUCUAGUGCCGCAGGGAAGCUGUUAAGCCUGCCGCCUGGGGAGUACGAUCGCAAGAUUGAGACUUAAAGGA